rnacentral:rRNA from 1 species
GAUGAACGCUAGCGGGAGGCCUAACACAUGCAAGCCGAGCGGUAGAGUUUCUUCGGAAACUUGAGAGCGGCGCACGGGUGCGUAACACGUGUGCAACCUACCUUUAUCUGGGGGAUAGCCUUUCGAAAGGAAGAUUAAUACCCCAUAAUAUAAUGAUUGGCAUCAAUUAUUAUUGAAAACUCCGGUGGAUAGAGAUGGGCACGCGCAAGAUUAGAUAGUCGGUGAGGUAACGGCUCACCAAGUCAAUGAUCUUUAGGGGUCCUGAGAGGGAGAUCCCCCACACUGGUACUGAGACACGGACCAGACUCCUACGGGAGGCAGCAGUGAGGAAGAUUGGACAAUGGGUGAGAGCCUGAUCCAGCCAUCCCGCGUGAAGGAUGACGGUCCUAUGGAUGGUAAACUUCUUUUGUACAGGGAUAAACCUACCCUCGUGAGGGUAGCUGAAGGUACUGUACGAAUAAGCACCGGCUAACUCCGUG